UCGUAUCUUUCCUCACGUUUUCUCUGUACUUUCUCUCUUUCAUCAUCUUUGUCCAGUCCUCACGCCGGCAACGCUGUUGCCGAUCUAUCUCCGUCGGCGGGAGGCUGCUCUAUCUGUCUUUUUCUCCAUCAAUUAGAUUACUCCAGGGAUCUUGAUCUAGGAGUGAGAGAUAGGGGAAACGAAAGGAGAAGAAUUUUCUUCUAAGUAAAUUUGAUUUUGGGUUUCGUAGAUUUUCCACGCGGAUCAAGCUCAUACGCUUUUUUUCUAUUUCGAAAUUCAACCCAGAUAGUGUUCUUAUUUGAUUGGUGUAAUGAAUAAAUAGUCAAAGAGAAAAGAAAGCCCAAAUAGAUUAUUCAUGGAGUCACCGCCAAUGGAAGUUGAAACAGGUAACUUUUACAUUUCUGGGUUUUAGAUUUUAAAGUUUAUUAGUAUUAGUUUCCUAUAAUACACUUUGAAUGAUUGGGUGUUCAUGU